rnacentral:lncRNA from 1 species
UACUGGCUGGGCGCGGUGGCUCACGCCUGUAAUCCCAGCACUUUGGGAGUGAGGCCAAGGUGGGUGGAUCAUUUGAGGUCAGCAGUUGGAGACCAGUCUGGCCAACAUAGUGAAACCGCGUCUCUACUAAAAAUACAAAAAUUUGCCAGGAGCCUGAGGCAGGACAAUCGCUUGAACCCGGGAGGUGCAGAUUGCAGAGAGCCGAGAUCGCGCCACUGCACUCCAGCCUGGGCGACAGAGUGAGUCUCUGUCUCAAAAAAAAAAAAAAAAAGUACUCAUAUCUCUUUUUCUGUAACUUUUAAAAUCCACUCCCAAAUACGUCUUGGGGGAACUUCCUAUGUCAGUAUAGCAUGGUAGUCCAUAACUGGAUUCUUCAAUAACAGUAAAUCUAGCUAUUUCCCCCAGCGGAAUGGGAAUUGUGUCCAACAUUUCAAACAUCUGGAAAAGUAUCAUCUAUACGCAGUGUAAUGUUUACAGCGAAUUCUGCCACUGCUCGCUGAUUUUAAACACAUUACCCUGUGUCUCAGUUUUUUAUUUGUAAAUGAUAUUUUACCACCUAAUUUACAGGGCUGUAGUGAGGAUUACAUCGAUUGACAUAUUUAUGGCAAGCUCUCAGAGAGUCUUGUACCUAAUACCAUUAUUUGCUCUGAUCCUUUAGUUUAGGCUCCUAGGAGACUUGAUUCUGGCUGACGUGCUGCGACUGUCAUCUUUCAGAUCAGAGUAACUCUGAGUCUGGUGGGAGUGUCUUCCCCCGACACCCCGUAUACCUCCGCUUUAAGAUGAGAGAAUCUUCUGUCGGUGCUAGCGUUCAGCGGCUAACGGAGGAGGCUUGACUCAACCUGCCGGACACUAAAGGACAUCACUCUGAGCCUGAGGGAGGGGCUCUCCUUUGGUCUCCCUCUUUUGUCCAGCCUUGCCCCAGGAUAUUUUUCUAAGCUGAGUUAGCCACUAGGCACUCCACAUCGCUGCCCGCAUCACCACGCUGCGGCAUCUGCUGUUGCAUCUGCGAUCCACAAGGCCUACACCAUUCGCCAUCGCACCUGGCUGUUUGUUGCAGAUAUUUCUCAGAUUCUCACUCUGUCAUCCAGGCUGGAGUGCAGUGACAUGAUCUUCACUUACUGCAACCUCUGCCUCCCGGGUUCAAGUGAUUCUCCUGCCUUAGCCUCCAGAGUAGCUGGGACUACAGGUGCGCACCACCAUGCCCGACUAAUUUUUUUUUUUUUAGUUUUUAGUAGAGAUGGGGUUUCACCACUUUGGCCACGCUGGUCUGGAUCUCCUGACCUUCUG